GAUGAACGCUGGCGGCGUGCCUAAUACAUGCAAGUCGAGCGAACAGACGAGGAGCUUGCUCCUCUGACGUUAGCGGCGGACGGGUGAGUAACACGUGGAUAACCUACCUAUAAGACUGGGAUAACUUCGGGAAACCGGAGCUAAUACCGGAUAAUAUAUUGAACCGCAUGGUUCAAUAGUGAAAGACGGUUUUGCUGUCACUUAUAGAUGGAUCCGCGCCCCAUUAGCUAGUUGGUAAGGUAACGGCUUACCAAGGCAACGAUGCGUAGCCGACCUGAGAGGGUGAUCGGCCACACUGGAACUGAGACACGGUCCAGACUCCUACGGGAGGCAGCAGUAGGGAAUCUUCCGCAAAGGGCGAAAGCCUGACGGAGCAACGCCGCGUGAGUGAUGAAGGUCUUCGGAUCGUAAAACUCUGUUAUUAGGGAAGAACAAAUGUGUAAGUAACUAUGCACGUCUUGACGGUACCUAAUCAGAAAGCCACGGCUAACUACGUG
rnacentral:rRNA from 1 species